rnacentral:lncRNA from 1 species
UGUGUGAAGGAGUGACUUGUUGCGGCCUCUAACUGCUUCUUCUCUUCCUUCCUUUUUGUCAUCCUGCAGUGUUCUGUGCCAAGGUCUUUGUGGCUAGGCUGCGCCAACCUGGUAGAGAGCAUGUGCGCACUGAGUUGCCUGCAGAGCAUGCCCAGUGUCAGAUGUCUCCAGGUGCCUCUCUUCUUUCUUGUUGUAAAUGUGUUUUUACGUAUGCCAUGAACAUUUGUUGAAACUUGCAGUAGUGUGUUUAAUGCAAUGUUAAGUCUGCUAAAUGUUCUGUGUAACCCUCUGCUUUCCUCCGGCCUGGACCCCCCAUGGAGGAGGAGUACUAGGAAGGCCUUCUGAGCAAACAGGUCUUGAAGGGCCCUUUCUUGCUCCCCUUUCUUCUCCUGCCCUUUAAUUCUUUCCCCUCACUACAAAGUUGUGAUUCUCAUGUUUGUUUAAUUGUUAAACCUUUGAAAAACAAAACAAAAUACUCUAUUUCCCAUUUGGCUGCCUUUAACAGUUUUGAGUUAAGAGGGUUUCAUAAUUAAAACAAUUUUCUGUUUUGAAACAUCUUUCGGUUUACCUUUUCUCCCCCAUUUAAAAAAAAAGAGGGGGGUGGGACUCACAACUAAACCCUGUACUGCAAACCUCACAAAUGGAGGUUUAUGAAGACCACAGCUUUAUGCUACUGGGAACCAUCAGCUUGAGCCAACUC